UGUCCAGUAGCACCUUAGAGACCAACUAAGUUUGUUCUUGGUAUCUGAAUAAGUGUGCGUGCACACAAAAGCUCUUACCAAGUACAAAUUUAGUUGGUCUCUAAGGUGCUACUAAGGGACG